UACAGAGGGUGCAAGCGUUAAUCGGAUUUACUGGGCGUAAAGGGUGCGUAGGUGGUUUUGUAAGUCGGAUGUGAAAGCCCGGGGCUCAACCUCGGAAUUGCAUUCGAUACUGCGAGACUAGAGUUCGGUAGAGGGCGGCGGAAUUCCCGGUGUAGCGGUGAAAUGCGUAGAUAUCGGGAGGAACAUCAAUGGCGAAGGCAGCCGCCUGGGCCUGGACUGACACUGAGGCACGAAAGCGUGGGUAGCAAACAGG
rnacentral:rRNA from 1 species